CCCUUAGAUGUUCUGGGCUGCACGCGCGCUACACUGAUGCGAUCAACAAGUUUUUCCUAUGUCGAUAGACACGGGUAGUCUUUUGAACUCGCAUCGUGAUGGGGAUAGAUUAUUGUAAUUAUUAAUCUUCAACGAGGAAUUCCUAGUAGGUGCAAAUCAUCAGUUUGCAUCGAUUACGUCCCUGCCCUUUGUACACACCGCCCGUCGCUGCUACCGAUUGGUUGAUCUGGUGAAUUAUUCGGACUGCCGGCUGAAGGGGUUUCCUCAUCUGCCAGCGGAAAGUCUUGUUAACCCUAUCAACUAGAGGAAGCAGAAGUCGUAACA
rnacentral:rRNA from 1 species